UCACUCUGCCGGGAAGGCGAUCGGCAGCAACCUUCCGUUGUUACAGGACCUGUACGAUUCCAGGACCUUGAAAAGAGCAGGAAGGAUUAUGGCUGAUUCCUCUCACCCUGGUCACAAACUCCUUCGGACUCUCCCCUCUGGCAGAAGGUUGUGGUCCAUUGAGACCAAAACAUCACGAUGUAUAGACAGUUUCUUCCCCACCGCAGCCCGCCUCAUCAAUAAGAAACACUGGAAGUUUCACCAGCUUCACUUGCUGCAAGAAUUCAAAGAAUCUAUAGGAGUAGGAAGAACAAUGGCUUCCUUGAAUCAAUGUACAAGUGUUUGCAAGGAUAUCUCAUUCAGGAAGUCUAUAAUGGCUUAAAGGAAACUGUUCUGGAGAGGAAGAAAAAUUAAGUGAUAUAAUGGCUUCUUCUGUAGCUUUCUGAAAUAAACCAUUCGGCACCAGUCAGAAUAGAACAGGAAAUGCUUCAAGAGGACGUGGAAUAUAACAAUAUUAAUCUAAGGACUGCUAACAUGCUGCCACAGCUGAAGCUAUGAAAAACUUGAAUAAAUGAAACAUUUGUUGACGUCUCAA